GUACAUGCGUCUGUGUCUAUACGUAUGUCUAUGCAUAUGUGCUUGUGCAGAGAACCAUGCAGUACUCAGCUAGUCAAAACAGCUGCAUCUGAGAAGAUAUGUCCUGAAGCAGACUGUGGAAUUGCCAAAUCCUCUUAAUUCACCUUCUGGUGACAUCGAAGGUGGUCCAAGCCUGACUGGGACGGUAUUCUUAUUUUCGCAGAGGAUCGCUAUCGUUUCACUCCAUUUAAAUUCGAGAAUAAGCAUCUCACGACGCCAUGCUCCACUGCAUCGGAACUGUAUGAGCCAGGAGGUCUUGCAGAGAGGGAGAAGCAGAGAGGGAGACACUUUCCAGACUGAGAAGAAAAAGCGACAUUAUCUGUCUUUGCUGUCUCUGGGUUGAAUUACUUGGCUUUUUUUUUCCCAAGAAAUCUGUCGCUUGAAGGUAUUGGAGUAAUAUUUCUGUAAGCCUUGGAUCAACAGCAAUAAAUGUAUUUGUAUCAGGAGCAGAGCCAGAUAAUUCAGCUGUUGUUCUUACAGGGAUCUGUUGUUUUGUGGAUCACAUGGGGAAUUCCAAACAGAAGCAAUCUUCAUGCUACCUGACACUGUAUGAGCUUAGUCAUCCCCGGCAAAUAACUCGUCUUUGAAAGAAGCUUACAUCUCACCUAAGCUUAUUUAUGCGGGCAAUCUUUCCUCAGGUGCUAACACUUGAUUUCUUUUCCUUCAGUCAUUUUUAAAAGUAUCUUUGGCAUAGUAUGUUUGAUAGACUCUUAUGCUCAACCCUAAGCUAAUAAAGAAACAAAAAGAUAAAAAAAAAUAAUAUUUUUCCUUCAAAGGAAUUUUAUAACAAAGUA
rnacentral:lncRNA from 7 species